CCGACUGAUGGGAGGGACGGGAGGCGAGCAAGAUGGCGCAGACUCAGGGCACCGAGAGGAAAGUCUGUUACUAUUACGACGGGGAUGUUGGAAAUUACUAUUAUGGACAAGGCCACCCAAUGAAGCCUCACUGAAUCCACAUGACUCACAAUUUACUCCUUAACUAUGGUCUCUACCGGAAGAUGGAAAUCUAUCGCCCUCACAAAGCCAAUGCUGAGGAGAUGACCAAGUACCACAGUGAUGACUACAUUAAAUUCUUACGCUCCAUCCGCCCAGAUAACGUCUGAGUACAGCAAGCAGAUGCAGAGAUUCAAUGUUGGUGAGGACUGUCCAGUAUUUGAUGGCCUGUUUGAGUUCUGUCAGCUGUCCACUGGUGGCUCUGUGGCAAGUGCCGUGAAACUUAAUAAGCAGCAGACGGACAUUGCUGUGAAUUGGGCUGGGGGCCUACACCAUGCAACGAAGUCCGAGGCAUCUGGCUUCUGUUACGUCAAUGAUAUCGUCUUGGCCAUCCUGGAACUGCUAAAGUAUCACCAGAGGGUGCUGUAUAUUGACAUUGAUAUUCACCACGGCGAUGGCGUGGAAGAGGCCUUCUAUACCACAGACCGAGUCAUGACUGUGUCCUUUCAUAAAUAUGGAGAGUACUUCCCAGGAACUGGGGACCUACGGGAUAUUGGAGCUGGCAAAGGCAAGUAUUAUGCUGUUAACUACCCUCUCCGAGAUGGGAUUGACGAUGAGUCCCAUGAGGCCAUUUUCAAGCCGGUCAUGUCCAAAGUAAUGGAGAUGUUCCAGCCCAGUGCAGUUGUCUUGCAGUGUGGCUCUGACUCCCUGUCCGGGGAUUGGUUAGGCUGCUUCAAUUUGACCAUCAAAGGGCAUGCCAAGUGUGUGGAAUUUGUGAAGAGCUUCAACCUGCCUAUGCUGAUGCUGGGAGGAGGUGGCUAUACCAUCCGUAAUGUCGCCCGAUGCUGAACAUAUGAAAGAGCUGUGGCCCUGGACACGGAGAUCCCUAAUGAGUUUCCAUACAACGACUACUUCAAAUACUCUGGACCAGAUUUCAAACUUCAUAUCAGUCCUUCCAAUAUGACUAACCAGAACACUAAUGAGUACCUGGAAAAGAUCAAACAGCGACUGUUUGAGAACCUGAGAAUGCUGCCCCACGCACCUGGGGUCCAAAUGCAGGCCAUCCCCGAGGACGCCAUUCCAGAGGAGAGUGGCGAUGAGGAUGAAGAAGACCCUGACAAGCGCAUCUCAGUCUGUUCCUCGGACAAACGAAUUGCCUCUGAGGAAGAGUUCUCCGACUCUGAUGAGGAGGGAGAAGGCGGGCGCAAGAACUCUUCCAACUUCAAGAAAGCCAAGAGAGUCAAAACAGAAGAUGAAAAGGAGAAAGAUCCAGAAGAGAAGAAAGAAGUCACAGAAGAGGAGAAAACCAAGGAAGAGAAGCAAGAAGCCAAAGGGGUCAAGGAAGAGGUCAAGUUGGCCUGAAGAGACCUCUCCAGUUCUGGCUUCUUGCCAAAUCCCGACCUUUAUCCCACAACCCUUCAGAUUUUAUAUUUUCUAUUUCUCUGUGUAUUUAUAUAAAAAUAUAUUAAAUAUAAAUAUCCCCAGGGACUAGAAAGGAACCAGGGCCCUGAGGUCAGGGCACACAUUGGGUGAGCUUUUCUAGUAGCUGCCUCGCAACCCAUCCCUCCCAAACUCUUGAACCCUAAUGGGUACUGGGUGAAAGGGAUCCGCUUAAGCAGCCAUAGGACAAAAUCUUGAAGUGCCUGCUUCGUAGCUUUGAAAAGGUGCCCUUACUGAGCAUUUGAGAAGGGGUAGCUGGGUCUUCAGGGUCUUCCUGUUGUUUUUAGGCUCUUAAGGUAACAUUGGCCAGUUUUAGAUUGGUUCUGUUCUCAUGCCUGCCCUCUCUGUCUUCCCCCAAUUCUGCAGGUGAAGAUUGGUAGUCUAGUUUCCUUUUUGAGAUACUAUAUUCAUUUUUGUGAGAAUCUUUGUAAUAAAAUGGUACAUUUCUAUAAAAAAAAA